rnacentral:lncRNA from 1 species
GCGGGAAGGUGGGCUGGGGGCGGGGAGCUCUGGGGGCGUGCCGGCUGCGCGGGGACACUAGCUCUGCCUGCUGCCACUGGCUCCAAGUUCCCACCCUCGCUCUCCCGCGGAGCCUGCCUGAGCCCGCCCCUUCGGUGCGGAGGUGCAAACGCCGCCGCGGUCAGCCCAGCCUGCCUUGCCGCGCGAUUUGGGCCCGUUCGGCCACCGCGGUCGGCUGGGAGCCGGCUGGGAGGACCCGGUGGCUGCUUCAUCUCGGCCUGCAGUGCCCCGCAGGGCCCAAGCUUCUCCUCGCGGUCUCCGGAGCCCGGUUCCUGGCCUGGACGCCUUGCAGGGGCCGGAGAACGGCUAAGAAAUCUCUGAGUUGAACACUGAGAACAUCAUUCCUACUUUUUGAGUCUUGAAUUGAAAGCUGCCAGAACCCUACAGCCUAUAAGGGAAAUAAAAGGUAGAUAUGAACUUUUGGAAAGCUACUUAUCAAGCAACAUGUACUUGGAUGCUUGAGCACACAUGAAUGUCAGAAAUAUCAGAUGUUUCUGUUAAACACAAAAUUAUGGAUGGAAUUUGUAUGGAUGGAAGAACAGAUGGAUGGAUGGACAAGUGGAUGGAUAUUUCCUGCUUCGGAGAGCACUUUAAGCAAGGAAGGCUUUCCUUGGCUUCGCCUGCAUUCCAUAAAAUACUCAUUGCCUUUUCGGAACAAGCAUGGAUGCCUCACCCACAUUACUCGUGGAGAAAGAACAGAAAAUAAAUUGUGGAACACGGAGAAUCCAGCAAGAUUAAAUAAUCUGAUCAGCAAAAACUGGUAUAUGGGAACCCCCAUGAUAAAAUUAAAGAAACCCCCAUUUGAUCUCACAUCCGAGCAGGCAAUAAGCCAGAUGCUGCCUGCUAUAAGGCCUGUAACACUCUAUGAGUCUGCCUCUCUUGAUGCCUGUGCUGAAACCUACAUUAAAACCUUCCUUUAAGAAG